rnacentral:rRNA from 1 species
UACGUAGGUGGCAAGCGUUAUCCGGAAUUAUUGGGCGUAAAGAGCGCGCAGGUGGUUAAUUAAGUCUGAUGUGAAAGCCCACGGCUUAACCGUGGAGGGUCAUUGGAAACUGGUUGACUUGAGUGCAGAAGAGGGAAGUGGAAUUCCAUGUGUAGCGGUGAAAUGCGUAGAGAUAUGGAGGAACACCAGUGGCGAAGGCGGCUUCCUGGUCUGCAACAGACACUGAGGCGCGAAAGCGUGGGGAGCAAACAGG